GCGCCCCCUCCCUACCCUUUCCCACGCGCGCCUCCUGGGGGUGCCCCCUUCCCAAGCCCCGGGCCCCUCCCGCCAACGGUCACCGGGGGUCCUGGCAGAGGCAGGGGGCCGGGGGAAACCAAGAGGGGUCUGCGAGGAGACGGGACCUGUGAGACAGGCGGGACCCGGUGGUGGCACCCCAACAAGCAGAAAGAGGGGAAGGGAGAUGAGGCAAAACUUAGGGAGGCUGCUCAGGAGGAACAGGGUGGGGUUUUAAGAGAGGGGAGCCUGCGGUACAGGAAGUCCCUCUACCCUCGAGGAAGCAGCAGCAGAAAUGGGCGCUGGAAGGCUCCAGGGCCCCUGGAGCAGGACUCAGAAGGGAAUUCCAGGGCAGAGGCUGCAGGGGCAGUCUGGAACAGGAAGGGGGCUGGGGCCGUGGAGCCCGCAAACGCAGAAUGGGCCACGCCUAGGGUGAAAGGGACAGGUGGGGAGCAGUGCGGUUUUUCUUCUCGCCCUCACUGCUCCCAGUCCUGGGGCUGACUUCCCCCGUCCUUUCUGCAACUCCACCACCCGCCGUCACCUCUUAGGGCCUUGAGGGUGUGCAGGCGUCUUCAAACUUCCAGUGGCUAUUCUGGGCCUGCCCAGAUUGGGUAUUCCCCGGAGACCUGGGAGUCCUGGAACCUGCUCUCCAGUCACUGGAGCCUCGGCCCCACCCUGGAUCUGGACUGCAGCCACUGGUGCUGCCUCCGGUGAGGGAGGAGCCAGCGCCCCAGAGCCACGGCUGGGGCUGGGUCGAGAGCAAGGCUGGGACUGACACCAGGCGGGGAAGAAACUCCUUGGGGGUGGGGACAGAGGGCUUGGUGAGAGCAAUUCAUCCAAUCCAGAGUCAGAGACAGGUUUUUAUUUAAAAUUUAUUGUAAUGGGGUCCGCGCAAAAGGAGGGGAUGAAGGGUGGGGAACAUGCAGGGGACACAGGAACACGAUGACAUGGCCAGGGCCACAGCUUCUGUCUUGGGGGAGAGGGAUGAAAAGAAAAGGCCAGGGCUGGAGCUGGGGUGGAAGAGGGACGGGGGAGACACUGUGACUGCAUUCCCCCCACCCCCAGGAAGCACCUCUAGUCCCUGGAUCCCCCCGUUUACCCUGGCACCCUAAAAUUCCAUCUCUUAUCCUGCCUCUGGCCCUAGUGGCUCCUUCUUUUGCUCCCCUUGACGUGUUUUCCCCUGACAGAUUCUAAGUAGGACAAUGUUUAGGGCCUGACCCUAAACAACCCCACCUUAUGAAGGUACUACCGUUGCCUUCCCUGCUUCUGCCCCUUCUCCAAUC